AGAGAAGCAAGCUCCCCGUGGGGAGCCUGAUGCAGGACUCCAUCCCAGGACCCUGGGAUCAUGACCUGAGCCAAAGGCAAAUGCUCAACCACUGAGCCACCCAGGGGCCCCUCACAUGAUGUUUUUAUCAAGACUUAAGAAAGCAUAUUCAUUAAAUUUUCAGAUGACAAAUUUGGGAACAAUAUUUAAUGUAUUAGAUAACAGAGUCAGGAUUCAAAAUGACCUUGUUAUUUUGGAAUAAUUACUCAAACCAACAAGAAUAUUAUUGAUCCUCCAGUUAAGUCUAGGACUAGAUCGAACAGGUAUGAGUUUUUGGAUAAUGGCUUGAAAGAAAGUCUUAUGAAAAAUGGUGGGGUGGCAGGGUGGUCUUCAUUAUUUUCAGUAUAACUGUGAAAAACCAACCAACCAACCAACCAAAACAAAAAAUUAAGAACUCUUCCCUGGGUAGCCACACCUGGAGCUCUGUAUAUGGUUUGGUAUACCAUUCUUUAGCAGGAUCCUUUAAAAAACUGGGAGAUAUUCAGUGAUAAUAACAUUGUGCAAGAGGCUUUGGUACACAUUUUUUUGUUUGUUCUUGCAAUAGUCUUGUGUGAUAUCUAUUACUAUCCUCAUUUCACAAAUAGGGAAACUAGGGCAUAACAAGAUUAAGCAUUUGCCCAAAUCAUAUAGCUGUAAUUAGGACUUGAACAUAGUCUGGCUGACUUCCCCACCCUUAUGCUUAGCUACUACACAUGCUAUUUUUCAGAAGAAUCACCAUGUCAAUAUGGUCCCAAGUUAAACUGUGCCUUUACAGAAAUGGUUAAAGAGUGUGGGUUUGUAUUUUCAAAUACUCUUAGUUUAUUGUGGAAAGUGUGGCUCCAGAGAGCAUGAUUAGAGCAAAAAGGAUGAUCAAUAUCUGCUACACAAUAAAGAAAAACUGUGUAAUCAUUAGAACUUUCCAAAAAUGGAAUGAGCUACUUAAAAAAAAAAAGUGUGUGUGUGUGUGUGUGUCCAGGUUGUGGGUGCUGGAAUAUGGCAGAGACCAGUUUCUUUCCUCAGGGAAUUCUUGCCAGUGUUUCAGUUUCUUGCAAAAUGUGUUCUGAUAGCUAGCGAUUCUCUCUGGAUUCCUGCCAGACGUGAUGCCAUUUGAGUUGGGUCUACACUAGGUGGGAAUUUGGACUGGUAAAUCUAAGUGUGCAAUUAACCCAAUGAUUCCUGUUUGUAAAUAUUUGGAGAGUUUGAUAUUUAAGAUCUUAUAAAAAUGUUAGCUACACAUACUAAAAAGAAACAGCUCACGUUACUGCUAUCAUCCUACCCACAUCCCCUCCUCAGUGGCUCAUAGCUGUUGUUCUUUUAACCGUUAUUCAAAUUGGACUGGGUUGUAUGUCUUCACAGACAUAGAUGCAAGCAUUCAGAGCAGUUUUAUUUAUUAAAGAUAAAAACUGGAAAUGGCUCCAAUGUCCAACAGUAACAGAUGGAUAAACAUAAUGAGGUACAUCCACACCAUGGAGUAUUGCUCAGCAGGCAAAAGGAAUGAAAUGUGGAGACACACAAUAAUACGAUGGUUCUCAGAAUAAUUAUAUUGUGUGGAAGAAGCUACACAAACAAAGAGUUCCUGUUGUGCUGUUUACUACUUAAUUAUUCACGAAGACAAAAAGUCCUGGCUGUCUUGAGCCCAGAAAUUAAUGGAUUUGGAAAAAAUUUUCAAAAUGCUUGCAUAGAGAACAGAAAAGGCUGCUUUAUGAAGCUGCACAGAGGUGGCCUAGUUACUGAGAGCCUCAAGGCUGAGCUGUAAGCUCUCUCAAAGCUUUCCUCACAGCCUUUUUCCCUUGGGGUCAAAGUCUUUGGGACUCAGCAGUAACCAGAGAGUGGCAUUCUGCCUCUCUGGGAUCAAAUUAGAGGUCUUUAGUUUGAGAAAUCUGGUUAUUGUUCAGUUUUAAUGACGUGUACUUAGUACCUGGAACAUGCAAGGCACCAGAGAGGGUACUAGUUGUCUUUGCUGGCAGUUAUAAUCAUCACCGUCACAGCUAACCUGUGCAAAGCGUUCUACUGGAGGACUUUAACUGCAGUAUCCUCUUUAACCCUGACAGCCAUCUAUGACAUGGAUGUUAUAUUUAAUCCUCAUUUUAUGGUUCAGGACGUUGAAGCUGGGAGGCGUUAGAUAUCUUCAUCAAGGGAUACUGAGAUGAAAAAGAUAACAGCCCCUGCUCUUGAAUCUGGUGGGGGACACAUUGAAUGUGUCAUGUGAUAAGCACUAUAACAAGAGUGUGUCCGUGGUACUACGAAAGGACUAAGGAAGGCCCCCUGCCCUGCCUCGGGGAAAAUCGAAGUGGCAUUGAAGUUGGACCUUGAAGGAUAGGUGGGAUCUGCUAUGGAGAGAAGGGGGAAGGAGUAUGGCAGACAAAGAGGAAGCUGCAUAUACAAAAGGCACUGGAAGAUGAAACGUGAAAGCAUAUGAGACAUCUGAAGCUAAUGAUGUACUUACUAUAUGUUGGCUAGUUGAAUUUAAA